rnacentral:rRNA from 1 species
AGCGAACGCUGGCGGCAGGCCUAACACAUGCAAGCCGAACGAAGUCUUCGGACUUAGUGGCGGACGGGUGAGUAACACGUGGGAACGUGCCUUUAGGUUCGGAAUAACUCAGGGAAACUUGUGCUAAUACCGAAUGUGCCCUUCGGGGGAAAGAUUUAUCGCCUUUAGAGCGGCCCGCGUCUGAUUAGCUAGUUGGUGAGGUAAAGGCUCACCAAGGCUACGAUCAGUAGCUGGUCUGAGAGGAUGACCAGCCACAUUGGGACUGAGACACGGCCCAAACUCCUACGGGAGACAGCAGUGGGGAAUCUUGCGCAAUGGGCGAAAGCCUGACGCAGCCAUGCCGCGUGAAUGAUGAAGGUCUAGGAUUGUAAAAUUCUUUCACCGGGGACGAUAAUGACGGUACCCGGAGAAGAAGCCCCGGCUAACUUCGUGCCAACAGCAGCCGCAGUAA